rnacentral:rRNA from 1 species
UACAGAGGGGGCAAGCGUUGUUCGGAAUUACUGGGCGUAAAGGGCGCGUAGGCGGCCUUCUAAGUCGAACGUGAAAUCUCCGGGCUUAACCCGGAAACUGCCGUUGAUACUAUCUGUCUUGAAUAUCGUGGAGGUAAGCGGAAUAUGUCAUGUAGCGGUGAAAUGCUUAGAUAUGACAUAGAACACCCAUUGCGAAGGCAGCUUACUACACGAUCAUUGACGCUGAGGCACGAAAGCGUGGGGAGCAAACAGG